rnacentral:rRNA from 1 species
UAAGGAAUAUUGCGCAAUGGACGAAAGUCUGACGCAGCGACGCCGCGUGGGGGAUGAAGGUCUUCGGAUUGUAAACCCCUUUCGGGAGGGAAGAUGGAACGAGCAAUCGUUCGGACGGUACCUCCAGAAGCAGCCACGGCCAACUUCGUGCCAGCAGCCGCGGUAAUACGAAGGUGGCAAGCGUUGUUCGGAUUCACUGGGCGUACAGGGUGUGUAGGCGGUUUGGUAAGCCUUCUGUUAAAGCUUCGGGCCCAACCCGGAAAGCGCAGAGGGUACUGCCAGGCUAGAGGGCGGGAGAGGAGCGCGGAAUUCCCGGUGUAGCGGUGAAAUGCGUAGAGAUCGGGAGGAAGGCCGGUGGCGAAGGCGGCGCUCUGGAACGUACCUGACGCUGAGACACGAAAGCGUGGGGAGCAAACAGG